rnacentral:lncRNA from 1 species
GAUAAUAAAUGUGCAUAGAUUGAAGAGAUGUUUAAUAAACGGCUAAUAAAUCAGUUUUGGGCCAUUUUAACGGUCACUUAGUAUUUUAUUUUGAUUCCCCCUUUAAGAUAUUAAAAACAUUUAAGUCUCCUGUUUGACUUCGGGGAAAAUGCAGGAUGAACAGAAUUUACCAACUCACACCGAACCGGGGUCAUAAAAAAAUCGAACCGGGGUAAAAAAAACC